rnacentral:rRNA from 1 species
UCCUACGGGAGGCAGCAGUGGGGAAUAUUGGACAAUGGGGGCAACCCUGAUCCAGCCACGCCGCGUGAGUGAUGAAGGCCUUCGGGUCGUAAAGCUCUGUCGGGAGGGAAGAAGGGGAAACCUUGACGGUACCUCGCAAGAAAGCACCGGCCAACUCUGUGCCAGCAGCCGCGGUAAUACAGAGGGUGCAAGCGUUGCUCGGAUUUACUGGGCGUGAAGCGUCCGCAGGCGGCGAAGAAGGUCUGAUGUGAAAGCCCCGGGCUCAACUCGGGAACUGCAUUGGAAACCGCUUCGCUUGAGUACGGGAGAGGAGGGUGGAAUUCCUGGUGUAGAGGUGAAAUUCGUAGAUAUCAGGAGGAACACCGGCGGCGAAGGCGGCCCUCUGGCCCGAUACUGACGCUCAUGGACGAAAGCGUGGGGAGCAAACAGGAUUAGAUACCCUAGUAGUC